rnacentral:tRNA from 1 species
UUCAAAAUGGCAGAAUAAUGUGAUAGAUUUAGGAUCUAUAAAAGAAGAAACUCUUUUGCUC